UUGUAGUUGCGUGGUGGUACCUGGUGGAGUCCAAGAGACAUGCUAUAUGAAGCAUGGCACUGAGAUUGCUUUCCUUAAAACAAGGAGAGGAUUUAUUCGAAUAGCUAUGGACAUGGGCAAACCCUUGGUUCCGAUUUUCUGCUUUGGUCAAUCAGAUGCAUACAAGUGGUGGAAACCUGGUGGAAAGUUAUUCAUGAAACUUGCAAGAGCUAUUAAGUUCACCCCUAUUGUCUUUUGGGGAAUUUUUGGAUCUCCAUUUCCUUAUAAACAUCCAAUUCAUGUUGUGGUGGGUAAACCAAUUGAGCUGAAGAAAAAUCCACAGC
rnacentral:misc_RNA from 1 species